CCAUAUUCAGGUUCGAUAAUGUCAUCAGUUUCUGGUGGGCUUCAUUCUGAGGGUCGAACGUCUUCUAAUUAGGAAUUCGCAAGAAGUACGUUGUCGCGCAGAAUUUUAUUUCACGAUCCUUUUAUAAUAAUAUUAAUAAUAAUAUUUGUUCUUUGCGCGUAUACAAAAUAUAUCGCAUAUUUUUCUUUCACACAUAGCUUGAAAGUACGAGAUAUCUCGUACGAAAAGUAAAAUUAUUAUUUCAAAUAUAAUCUUAUUAAACUUUAUUAGAUGGGUACUUAAAACAAGUUGUAAACAGCAUAACAUUUGUUAUCUUAUUUCUUGUUAUACCAAUUCAUCAAAAUCAAUAUCUGAGAAAUUCAGAAAUAAAAGUGAUUCUUUAUACAAAUUAGUUUCAAUAUCAGCUAUGUUCUAUGUUUUAACAGACACUUUGGUAUUAAUAUUAUCAUUGAUCUGCAUAUUAUCUUGUUGUUUCUUCUCACUUC
rnacentral:misc_RNA from 1 species